GACGAACGCUGGCGGCGUGCUUAACACAUGCAAGUCGAACGGAAAGGCCCUGCUUUUGUGGGGUGCUCGAGUGGCGAACGGGUGAGUAACAAGUGAGUAACCUGCCCUUGACUUUGGGAUAACUUCAGGAAACUGGGGCUAAUACCGGAUAGGAGCUCCUGCUGCAUGGUGGGGGUUGGAAAGUUUCGGCGGUUGGGGAUGGACUCGCGGCUUAUCAGCUUGUUGGUGGGGUAGUGGCUUACCAAGGCUUUGACGGGUAGCCGGCCUGAGAGGGUGACCGGCCACAUUGGGACUGAGAUACGGCCCAGACUCCUACGGGAGGCAGCAGUGGGGAUUAUUGCACAAUGGGCGGAAGCCUGAUGCAGCAACGCCGCGUGCGGGAUGACGGCCUUCGGGUUGUAAACCGCUUUCGCCUGUGACGAAGCGUGAGUGACGGUAAUGGGUAAAGAAGCACCGGCUAACUACGUG
rnacentral:rRNA from 1 species